UGGUGGAGUGAUUUGUCUGGUUAAUUCCGUUAACGAACGAGACCUCGACCUGCUAAAUAGUCUCAUUCACCAAGGUGGGUGAGAUCUUCUUAGAGGGACUAUCGGUGUCCUAGCCGGUGGAAGUUCGAGGCAAUAACA
rnacentral:rRNA from 1 species